rnacentral:rRNA from 1 species
GAUGAACGCUAGCGGGAGGCCUAACACAUGCAAGCCGAGCGGGAUUUGUUGGUUAGCUUGCUAACUAACAAUGAGAGCGGCGUACGGGUGCGUAGCACGUGUGCAACCUGCCUUUAUCUGGGGGAUAGCCUUUCGAAAGGAAGAUUAAUACCCCAUAACAUAUUGAUUGGCAUCAGUUAAUAUUGAAAGCUCCGGCGGAUAGAGAUGGGCACGCGUAAGAUUAGCUAGUUGGUGAGGUAACGGCUCACCAAGGCUGCGAUCUUUAGGGGGCCUGAGAGGGGGAUCCACCACACUGGUACUGAGACACGGACCAGACUCCUACGGGAGGCAGCAGUGAGGAAUAUUGUACACUGGGUGAGGGCCUGAUCCAGCCAUCCCGCGUGAAGGACUAAGGACCUAUGGUUUGUAAACUUCUUUUAUACAGGGAUAAACCUACUCUCGUGAGGGUAGCUGACGGUACUGUAUGAAUAAGCACCGGCUAACUCCGUG